rnacentral:rRNA from 1 species
UACGUAGGGUGCAAGCGUUAAUCGGAAUUACUGGGCGUAAAGCGUGCGCAGGCGGUGAUGUAAGACAGAUGUGAAAUCCCCGGGCCUAACCUGGGAACUGCAUUUGUGACUGCAUGGCUAGAGUUUGUCAGAGGGGGGUGGAAUUCCACGUGUAGCAGUGAAAUGCGUAGAUAUGUGGAGGAACACCGAUGGCGAAGGCAGCCCCCUGGGAUGUGACUGACGCUCAUGUACGAAAGCGUGGGGAGCAAACAGG